GAUGAACGCUGGCGGCGUGCCUAAUACAUGCAAGUCGAGCGAACGGACGAGAAGCUUGCUUCUCUGAUGUUAGCGGCGGACGGGUGAGUAACACGUGGAUAACCUACCUAUAAGACUGGGAUAACUUCGGGAAACCGUAGCUAAUACCGGAUAAUAUUUUGAACCGCAUGGUUCAAAAGUGAAAGACGGUCUUGCUGUCACUUAUAGAUGGAUCCGCGCUGCAUUAGCUAGUUGGUAAGGUAACGGCUUACCAAGGCAACGAUGCAUAGCCGACCUGAGAGGGGGAGCGGCCACACUGGAACUGAGACACGGACCAGACUCCUACGGGAGGCAGCAGUAGGGAAUAGUCCGCAAGGGGCGAAAGCCUGACGGAGCAACGACGCGUGAGUGAUGAAGGUCUUCGGAUCGUAAAACUCUGUUAUUAGGGAAGAACAUAUGUGUAAGUAACUGUGCACAGCUUGAAGGUACCUAAUCAGAAAGCCACGGCUAACUACG
rnacentral:rRNA from 1 species